rnacentral:rRNA from 1 species
UCAAGUUAUUAAGGGUGCAGGGCGGAUGCCUUGGCACUAGGAGCCGAUGAAGGACGUGAUAAGCUGCGAUAAGCUUCGGGGAGUUGCACGUAAACUUUGAUCCGAAGAUUUCCGAAUGAGGAAACUCACUUAGAGUAAUGUCUAAGUAUCAUUAAGUGAAUACAUAGCUUAAUGAGGGGAACUCAGGGAACUGAAACAUCUAAGUACCUGAAGGAAGAGAAAGAAAUUCGAUUCCGUAAGUAGCGGCGAGCGAACGCGGAUUAGCCCAAACCAAUAAAGUUUUCUUUAUUGGGGUUGCGGACAUAUCAUAACGAAGAGGUAUCGUAAUUGAAGAGGUUUGGAAAGACCCACCACAGAAGGUAAUAGUCCUGUAUGUUAAACGAGAAGACUUCAGAUAUGAUCCAGAGUACCACGGGACACGUGAAACCCUGUGGGAAGCAGGAGGGACCACCCUCCAAGGCUAAAUACUACCUAGUGACCGAUAGCGUAUAGUACCGUGAGGGAAAGGUGAAAAGAACCCCGGGAGGGGAGUGAAAUAGAACCUGAAACCCUGCACUUACAAGCUGUGGAAGCACAUUUCUUGUGUGACCGCGUACUUUUUGUAGAACGGGCCAACGAGUUACGUUAAGUAGCAAGGUUAAGCACUUAAGGUGCGGAGCCGUAGCGAAAGCGAGUUUUAACUGAGCGUUCAGUUACUUGACGUAGACCCGAAACCGGGCGACCUACCCAUGAGCAGGAUGAAGCGAAAGUAAAAUUUCGUGGAGGUCCGAACCCACGAGCGUUGAAAAGCUCGGGGAUGACUUGUGGGUAGCGGUGAAAUUCCAAUCGAGCCCGGAGAUAGCUGGUUCUCCCCGAAAUAGCUUUAGGGCUAGCCUCAAGGUGAGAGAUACGGAGGUAGAGCACUGAAUGUCCUAGGGGGUAUUGCACCUACCGAAGACUAUCAAACUCCGAAUGCCGUCAUCUUAUACUUGGGAGUCAGACUGUGGGUGAUAAGAUUCAUAGUCGAAAGGGCAACAGCCCAGAUCGUCAGCUAAGGUCCCUAAAUGUAAGUUAAGUGGUAAAGGAUGUGGGAUUGCACAGACAACCAGGAUGUUGGCUUAGAAGCAGCCACUCAUUCAAAGAGUGCGUAAUAGCUCACUGGUCGAGUGAUCCUGCGCCGAAGAUUUCCGGGGCUAAAACUUACUACCGAAGCUACGGCAUCAGUAAUGAUGGGUAGGGGAGCUUCCCAUACGGGUUGAAGCAUGACCGUAAGGACAUGUGGACAGUAUGGGAGUGAGAAUGUUGGCAUGAGUAGCGAGAUGUGGGUGAGAAUCCCACAGGCCGUAAACCCAAGGUUUCCAGGGGAAGGUUCGUCCGCCCUGGGUUAGUCGGGACCUAAGCUGAGGCCGAAAGGCGUAGGUGAUGGACAACAGGUUGAUAUUCCUGUACUACCGAUAACCGUUUGAGAGAAGGGAUGACACAGUAGGAUAAGCUAAGCACACUGUUGGUUAUGUGUGCCCAAGCAUUGAGGCAGUCAAAGUAGGCAAAUCCGCUUUGAUAAUGCUGGGAUGUGAUGGGGAGCGAAAUUUAGUAGCGAAGUAGCUGAUUUCACACUGUCAAGAAAAGUCUCUAUCGAGGUUAAAGGUACCCGUACCGCAAACCGACACAGGUGGGUGAGGAGAGUAUCCUAAGGCCAGCGAGAGAACUGUUGUUAAGGAACUCGGCAAAAUGACCCCGUAACUUAGGGAUAAGGGGUGCCACCAUCAGGUGGCCGCAGAGAAUAGGCCCAAGCGACUGUUUACCAAAAACAUAGGUUUCUGCUAAGUCGCAAGACGAUGUAUAGGAGCUGACGCCUGCCCGGUGCUGGAAGGUUAAGGGGAUCUGUUAGAGCAAUCGAAGCAGUGAACUUAAGCCCCAGUAAACGGCGGCCGUAACUAUAACGGUCCUAAGGUAGCGAAAUUCCUUGUCGGGUAAGUUCCGACCCGCACGAAAGGCGUAACGAUUUGGGCACUGUCUCAACAACAGACUCGGUGAAAUUGUAAUUCCGGUGAAGAUGCCGGAUACCUGCGACAGGACGGAAAGACCCCAUGGAGCUUUACUGUAGCUUGACAUUGGGUCUUGGUACUACAUGUACAGGAUAGGUGGGAGGCUUUGAAACCAGGACGCCAGUUUUGGCGGAGCCAUCCUUGGGAUACCACCCUUGUAGUACUGGGACUCUAACCAUAGGCCAUGAAUCUGGUCUUGGGACACUGUCAGGUGGGCAGUUUGACUGGGGCGGUCGCCUCCCAAAAGGUAACGGAGGCGCUCAAAGGUUCUCUCAGUACGGUCGGAAAUCGUACGUAGAGUGUAAAGGCAAAAGAGAGCUUGAUUGCAAGACAUACAGGUCGAGCAAGGAUGAAAAUCGGACUUAGUGAUCCGGUGGUUCUGCGUGGAAGGGCCAUCGCUCAACGGAUAAAAGCUACCCUGGGGAUAACAGGCUUAUCUCCCCCAAGAGUCCACAUCGACGGGGAGGUUUGGCACCUCGAUGUCGGCUCAUCACAUCCUGGGGCUGUAGUAGGUCCCAAGGGUUGGGCUGUUCGCCCAUUAAAGUGGUACGCGAGCUGGGUUCAGAACGUCGUGAGACAGUUCGGUCCCUAUCCGUCGCAGGCGUAGGAAAUUUGAGAAGACCUGUCCUUAGUACGAGAGGACCGGGAUGGACGUACCUCUGGUGUACCAGUUGUNNNNNNNNNNNNNNNNNNNNNNCUGCCAAGGGCAUGGCUGGGUAGCUAUGUACGGAAUGGAUAAGCGCUGAAAGCAUCUAAGCGCGAAGCCAACUUCAAGAUAAGAUUUCCCACCGCAAGGGUAAGACCCCAGAAAGACUAUCUGGUUGAUAGGUCGAAGGUGUAAGUGCAGCAAUGUAUUUAGCUUAUCGAUACUAAUAGGUCGAGGACUUGACCAA